UACGUAGGUGGCAAGCGUUAUCCGGAUUUAUUGGGUUUAAAGGGUGCGUAGGCGGGAUGCCAAGUCAGCGGUAAAAAUGCGGUGCUCAACGCCGUCGAGCCGUUGAAACUGGCGUUCUUGAGUGGGCGAGAAGUAUGCGGAAUGCGUGGUGUAGCGGUGAAAUGCAUAGAUAUCACGCAGAACUCCGAUUGCGAAGGCAGCAUACCGGCGCCCUACUGACGCUGAGGCACGAAAGCGUGGGUAUCGAACAGG
rnacentral:rRNA from 1 species